UGACCUCAAAUCAGGUAGGACUACCCGCUGAACUUAAGCAUAUCAAUAAGCGGAGGAAAAGAAACUAACAAGGAUUCCCCUAGUAACUGCGAGUGAAGCGGGAAAAGCUCAAAUUUAAAAUCUGUCAGUCUUUGGCUGUCCGAGUUGUAAUCUAGAGAAGUGUUAUCUGCGUUGGACCGUGUACAAGUCUCCUGGGAUGGAGCGUCAUAGAGGGUGAGAAUCCCGUCUUUGACACGGACUACCAAGGCUUUGUGAUGCGCUCUCAAAGAGUCGAGUUGUUUGGGAAUGCAGCUCAAAAUGGGUGGUAAAUUCCAUCUAAAGCUAAAUAUUGGCGAGAGACCGAUAGCGAACAAGUACCGUGAGGGAAAGAUGAAAAGAACUUUGGAAAGAGAGUUAAACAGUACGUGAAAUUGCUGAAAGGGAAACGCUUGAAGUCAGUCGCGUUGUCCAGGGAUCAACCUUGCUUUUGCUUGGUGUACUUUCUGGUUAACGGGUCAACAUCAAUUUUGAUCAUUGGAAAAAAGUUAAGGGAAUGUGGCAUCUUUGGAUGUGUUAUAGCCUUUGAUUGUAUACAAUGGUUGGGAUUGAGGAACUCAGCA
rnacentral:rRNA from 1 species